UUUACUAGACGGCAUAGUGAUUUUUCUCAGGCCUGCAGUUUCCGUCGAGAUCGUAAGACAGUACAGUAAUUUUUAUCGGAAUCCCACCAUAAAAUUGUCUACUAAUAUACUACUAAUUUACUACGACAAUAAAAUCAUUGAGGUACUCCUCUAUUUGCAGUCCCCCAUCAUCACAGAAUGUGUAAAUUAUCUCGACAUUACUCGUGUUUCUCACGAAGGAUUCACAGGAGACGACCCAACGGGAAUAUAUUCAGGAAACGAGACGAGAUAUAACUCUUCGUCAGAUAGAAUUUAUGUCAGGGGAAUUUCGGAGGAGUUGGACUGAAAUAAAAACAUGACAGAUUUGGAUCACCUUGAGAGGUGGUGGUGUAUUCAUCAACAAUGUCUCUACCAUUAUAUUACGAGCCCUCCAACACGUUGAUUUUUAUCACAGGCCAUUCUGCCAACACCACUUUUCAUUGUGAUACCGUCGUUGUUGUAAUAGAACUAUGCCAUUCAGACAUUACAUUUGCUCACGAAUGCGACAUAUCCCACAGAGAGCCACCAGCCAUAUUCUUUUCACCACUGAAGAAGUGAAGCUCGCGAACGCAAUCCAUCUCAUGUAUUAUAUGGGAUUCGUGCUCAAGGGAUGUAAUAACAGAGAGCGAAAAAAUGUGGGAUACGAGGGAGAUCAAAGGGAAAAAAUUCUCAAACGAAUAAACAGAAAUGGUGGGGUGAGUUGGAGAGAGGGAGAAAUGGUACAGAAAAAAUUCGUUCAUGGAGGCACUCGGGUGAUGCAGAAUGAGACAGGCGUAUGUGGAGAGAACUACUGUGGUUAAACAUCAUAUCGCACUUAAGCUUUUUCAAGGACUGCACGCUCUCAUUAUCAUUAAAUUUUUGUUUUAAAUUUCGUUUAGUAUGUUUUUAUCAUUUUUUAAAAAUUCCCGUUUCAGCGUUUUUCUCGGUGUCUGUAGUGUUUAAAAAGGCCAGAAUAUCUGAAACCUCUUGCUUUUCUGUUAACAAAGUUGUUUAGCCACCCCAUGAACCGAGUACACAGAGAGUGGAAAUGCACUCGUUAAUCGCUUCC